UGGGGAAUUUUGGACAAUGGGCGAAAGCCUGAUCCAGCAAUGCCGCGUGUGUGAAGAAGGCCUUCGGGUUGUAAAGCACUUUUGUCCGGAAAGAAAUCCUUGGCUCUAAUACAGUCGGGGGAUGACGGUACCGGAAGAAUAAGCACCGGCUAACUACGUGCCAGCAGCCGCGGUAAUACGUAGGGUGCAAGCGUUAAUCGGAAUUACUGGGCGUAAAGCGUGCGCAGGCGGUUUGCUAAGACCGAUGUGAAAUCCCCGGGCUCAACCUGGGAACUGCAUUGGUGACUGGCAGGCUAGAGUAUGGCAGAGGGGGGUAGAAUUCCACGUGUAGCAGUGAAAUGCGUAGAGAUGUGGAGGAAUACCGAUGGCGAAGGCAGCCCCCUGGGCCAAUACUGACGCUCAUGCACGAAAAGCGUGGGGAGCAAACAGGAUUAGAUACCCUGGUAGUCCACGCCCUAAACGAUGUCAACUAGUUGUUGGGGAUUCAUUUCCUUAGUAACGUAGCUAACGCGUGAAGUUGACCGCCU
rnacentral:rRNA from 1 species